rnacentral:misc_RNA from 1 species
UCCGGUUUGUCACCGGCAGUCCCAUUAGAGUGCUCAACUGAAUGUAGCAACUAAUGGCAAGGGUUGCGCUCGUUGCGGGACUUAGCCCAACAUCUCACGACACGAGCUGACGACAGCCAUGCAGCACCUGUGUCCAGGUUCCCUUUCGGGCACCACUGCAUUUCUGCAGCGUUCCUGGCAUGUCAAGGGUAGGUAAGGUUUUUCGCGUUGCAUCGAAUUAAACCACAUCAUCCACCGCUUGUGCGGGCCCCCGUCAAUUCCUUUGAGUUUCAAUCUUGCGAUCGUACUUCCCAGGUGGAUUACUUAAUGCUUUCGCGUCAAUACGCCCAACACCUAGUACACAACGUUUAGGGCGUGGACUAC